AGGUUGUAAAUGUUGGGGUUGG
rnacentral:siRNA from 1 species